GACAAACGCUGGCGGCGUGCUUAACACAUGCAAGUCGAACGGAGUACCCGAGAAUGAAGCUUCGGCAGAUUUUUUGGAAUACUUAGUGGCGGACGGGUGAGUAACACGUGGGAACGUACAUUGUAGUGGGGGAACAACAGAGGGAAACUUCUGCUAAUACCGCAUAAUCCCUGAGGGGGAAAGAUUUAUCGCUAUAAUAUCGGCCCGCGGAAGAUUAGGUAGUUGGUGGGGUAAAGGCCUACCAAGCCUACGAUCUAUAGCUGGUCUGAGAGGACGAUCAGCCACAUUGGAACUGAGACACGGUCCAGACUCCUACGGGAGGCAGCAGUGAGGAAUAUUGGGCAAUGGAGGGAACUCUGACCCAGCCAUGCCGCGUGAGUGAGAAGGUUUUCGAAUUGUAAAGCUCUUUCAGGUGAGAAGAUGAUGACGGUAUCACCAGAAGAAGCCCCGGCAAACUUCGUG
rnacentral:rRNA from 1 species